AUUGAACGCUGGCGGCAUGCCUUACACAUGCAAGUCGAACGGCAGCACGGGAGCAAUCCUGGUGGCGAGUGGCGAACGGGUGAGUAAUAUAUCGGAACGUGCCCAGUCGUGGGGAUAACGUAGCGAAAGCUACGCUAAUACCGCAUACGAUCUAUGGAUGAAAGCGGGGGAUCGCAAGACCUCGCGCGAUUGGAGCGGCCGAUAUCAGAUUAGGUUGUUGGUGAGGUAAAAGCUCACCAAGCCGACGAUCUGUAGCUGGUUUGAGAGAACGACCAGCCACACUGGGACUGAGACACGGCCCAGACUCCUACGGAGGCAGCAGUGGGGAAUUUUGGACAAUGGGCGCAAGUCUGAUCCAGCCAUUCCGCGUGCAGGAUGAAGGCCCUCGGGUUGUAAACUGCUUUUGUACGGAACGAAAAGGUUUGUCUUAAUACGAUGUAGCUCAUGACGGUACCGUAAGAA
rnacentral:rRNA from 1 species